rnacentral:rRNA from 1 species
GACGUAGGGUGCAAGCGUUAUUCGGAAUUACUGGGCGUAAAGCGUGCGCAGGCGGUUUUGUAAGUCGGAUGUGAAAGCCCCGGGCUUAACCUGGGAACUGCAUUCGAGACUGCAAGGCUAGAGUAUGGCAGAGGGGGGUAGAAUUCCACGUGUAGCAGUGAAAUGCGUAGAGAUGUAGAGGAAUACCGAUGGCGAAGGCAGCCCCCUGGGCCAAUACUGACGCUCAUGCACGAAAGCGUGGGGAGCAAACAGG